rnacentral:rRNA from 1 species
ACGAACGCUGGCCGCGCGCUUAACCCCUGCAAGUCGAACGGAAAGGCCUGCUUUUCCUUGUGGAUUGCGGGUACGCGAGUGGCGAACGGGUGAGGAACACGUGAGUGAUCUGCCCCCAACUUGGGUAUAAGCCUGGGAAACUGGGUCUAAUUCCCGGUAGGACUGCAGGGGGGUGCCUGUGGUGGCAAACGAUUUUCAAGCGGUUGGGGAUUAGCUCGCGGCCUAUCAGCUUGUUGGUGGGGUAAUGGCCUACCAAGGCGGCGACGGGUAGCCGGCCGGAGAGGGUGGACAGUCGCAUUGGGACUGGGUCCCGACCCCGACGGCUGCGGGCGGCAGGGGAGGUGAGUAAUGGAGAGAGGGCGGGAGCCUGAUGCGGCGACGGUGUGUGGAGGGUGAUGGGAUUGGGGUUGUAAACUCCUUGCGACCGAGAGGAGGCAACCUGGAUGGAAGGGUGGUGACGUUAGUGGUAGAAGAAGCACCGGCUAACUACGUG